rnacentral:rRNA from 1 species
AGAGUUUGAUCCUGGCUCAUAACGAACGCUGGCGGCAGGCCUAACACAUGCAAGUCGAGCGCAAUUCUUACCUUCGGGUAGGGAUCGAGCGGCGGACGGGUUAGUAACGCGUGGGAAUGUACCCUUCUCUACGGAAUAGCCUCGGGAAACUGAGAGUAAUACCGUAUACGCCCUUUUGGGGAAAGAUUUAUCGGAGAAGGAUCAGCCCGCGUAAGAUUAGAUAGUUGGUGGGGUAAUGGCCUACCAAGUCUACGAUCUUUAGCUGGUUUUAGAGGAUGAUCAGCAACACUGGGACUGAGACACGGCCCAGACUCCUACGGGAGGCAGCAGUGGGGAAUCUUGGACAAUGGGCGCAAGCCUGAUCCAGCCAUGCCGCGUGUGUGAUGAAGGCCUUAGGGUCGUAAAGCACUUUCGCUAGAGAUGAUAAUGACAGUAUCUAGUAAAGAAGUCCCGGCUAACUCCGUGCCAGCAGCCGCGGUAAUU